rnacentral:rRNA from 1 species
UACGUAGGGUGCAAGCGUUGUCCGGAAUUAUUGGGCGUAAAGAGCUUGUAGGCGGUUUGUCGCGUCUGCUGUGAAAUUUCGGGGCUCAACCCCGAGUCGGCCGUGCGAACUGGGCUCACUGGAGCAUAGUAGAGGCAGGUGGAAUUCCGGGUGUAGCGGUGGAAUGCGUAGAGAUCCGGAAGAACACCGGUGGCGAAGGCGGCCUGCUGGGCUAUGGCUGACACUGAGGCGCGACAGCGUGGGGGAGCAAACAGGG